UGAAUAAAAGUAGUAAUUAUUUGUUCUAAAUCGACAACCCUAGUUUUCACUGCACUAGAACAAUAGUGACACGUCCUGAUGGCUACGACAACACUUAGAGAUGUUAUAAAUAUUAGGUAAAUGUGCGCCCGCGCAUAGUCUUGUGGGACAUAGUCAUCAGCGGAACAAUAUGAUAAGAUGGCGUUCUUUAUUAGCUUGGUCGCUCAUUAUCAAUGUACACAUUUGUCACAGAGUAAUAGAAAGUACAGAAGAUACUCCGACUGAACUUGAAACAUUUUAUAAUACUACAACACUAUACCCUAUUAGUAAUACUACAAACGUAACUAAGAAUGAACUAAAUUCAAACAACAAAACAAUUAAUACUGCAGCUACAGUUUGGAAAAUAGAAACUGCUUUUGCUGAAUCAAAAUUACCAAAAACGGAAAAAGAAAAUGUUACGAAUCCUGUAGAAUCUAAAGAAAAUCUAACUCAAAACGAUAUCAAGAUGGUCAAUAGCAGCAAAGAAUUUAAACCAAGUCCACAACUGGAAACAUACUUUGAUGAAAGUCAUGAGAUAUUUCCACCUCGAAAAGUAUUAGAAUCCUUUGUUCCUAUGAGAAAACCAGCUUCUGCUUUUUUAAGUUCACACCGAGAUCCUUUUAAAUCUAAUCUUUAUAAUAUACCGAGAGACAUAUUCAGGCAGAACGAUUUCCCAUACAAAAUUGAGAACAGUAUUCUUACUAAAACUAAAAAUAAUUGGCAACCAAGUAGAUACGAAUCUAGUUUUGAAUCUGGAAACCUGGAGUCAAAGCCAACUGUAGAAGUGCCUAUGAGGGUCCCAGCUGGAGGUCUUUACAAGUCGCCAGAUGCAUUUAAAAAUAAACCUAAUGAAGAUGGAGACAACGAAGAUUUCGGAUUAGAUUUCAAUGCCACGGGAGACGUGAAAGAGAACCCAGUAGACAUAAAAAAGAGAGUAAACCCAUGGAGGAAUCUACUUCGUUUAGUGACCGCAUUCAUUCCCGUAGGACUCAUAAUCUCAGCGCUCACCCCCAACGUAAUCACCAUUGAAAAUACCGGCCCUGGAAAUCAUUUUCCAUCACAUAUGUACCGUCGAUCUGACACAGUAAGAGAUCUAGCGCCCAUCAGUGAAUCCUGCCGCCGAAGACUUCUGUGCGAACUACACUCAGAGAAGAACUACGAGUAUGCGUAGUAAAAUUUUAAACAAUAAUUAUGUUUUAGCAUGUUUAAUCAGCUACAAAAAGAUAAGAUCUCAUAUUCCAUAUAAAAGUAAACAAUGCUACAAGCUGCAUUGUGGCGACCAAGAAGCCCUGUCGAAGAUUCUGCAAUGGCUUUUGACCCACGACCGUCCCAAACACGAACAUCACAGGCC